rnacentral:lncRNA from 1 species
AUGAAGAAAUACACGCACAGACAGUGUGGUGGAGAGGUGGAGACCCCGCUGCUGACCGAGGAUGCUGAUGUGGGCCUGGAGUACGCGCCCUUUGAUGAUGACGACGGCCUGGUGGACUGUGACUCCCGGCCGCCUGCUACCAUGGCCACUGCAGGUACAGGACCAAGCACUGGUCUAGCAGUUCGGCAUCGCUCCCUCCCAAGAAAAAGAAGAAAAAGAAAGGCGGCCACGGGAGAAGCAGAGCCAGACUCACUGACCCGGCCCAUGUGUUACCAGCUCCCAAGGAAGGAGACCACUACUACUGCUGCUGCCCUCCUCCCCCUACCUUGCCUAGUUCACAAGACAGGAGUAAAGAGAAAGAAACAAAAGAUAAAUAGCCAGACAACCUUGGCACCACCACCCCGCCCUAGGAGUUAAACAAAGUAAUAAUAAUAACAUCAACCCCUGGCCUAAACUACUUGUGUUAUCUGUAAAUUCCAGACACUGUAUGAAAAAAGCAUUGUAAAACUUUGUUAGCUGAUGCAUGUAGCCCCCAGUCACAUUUCCCACGCUUGCUCGAUUUAUCACGACCCUUUCACAUGGACCCCUUAAAAGGCCUAGUAUUUAAAAAGGCCUAGUAUUUCUUUCUCGGGAAGCUGGGCUCUUAAGACGCGAGUCUGCGGACACUCCCGGCCAAAUAAAAAACCUCUUCC